GGCACUUUGGCGGAGUGGUUAACGCGAUGCCCUGCUACCAUCGGUUUCAGGCAUUUCCCUCGGGAGCGUGUGUUCGAGUCACACAGGUGUCG
rnacentral:tRNA from 2 species